GUCUUGAGUCCCUGCUUCAGAAUCUUAUUCCUGAAAGGUUUCCAUCUUUCUCCCGUUGCUUCUGGGAUUCCUAGGUUGGCAGAGUCAGCAUAUAUGAUUCCAAAAGGCAAUCCGGGAAGACUAAGGAGACAAGCGUCAACUGGUGUCUGGCUGAUGGCUAUGACCUGGAGAUCCUGGACGGUACCAGAGGCACUGUGGAUGGGCCACGGAAUGAAUUGUCCCGGGUCUCCAAAAAGAACAUUUUUCUUCUAUUUAAGAAGCUCUGCUCCUUCCGUUACCGCAGGGAUCUACUGAGACUCUCCUAUGGUGAGGCCAAGAAAGCUGCCCGUGACUACGAGACGGCCAAGAACUACUUCAAAAAAGGCCUGAAGGAUAUGGGCUAUGGGAACUGGAUUAGCAAACCCCAGGAGGAAAAGAACUUUUAUCUCUGCCCAGUAUAGUAUGCUCCAGUGACAGAUGGAUUAGGGUGUGUCAUACUAGGGUGUGAGAGAGGUAGGUCGUAGCAUUCCUCAUCACAUGGUCAGGGGAUUUUUUUUUCUCCUUUUUUUUUCUUUUUAAGCCAUAAUUGGUGAUACUGAAAACUUUGGGUUCCCAUUUAUCCUGCUUUCUUUG
rnacentral:lncRNA from 1 species